GCUCCGUUGGUGAACCAGCGUAGGGAUCAUUACAGGACUCGCAAGACUCCUUCACCCUGUGAACCUCACUACAAGCACGUUGCUUCGGCGGGUGUCCCGGCGGGGGUUUUCCCUCGCCGGGGCGCACAGCCCGCCGGCAGCCUACUAUACUCUGUCUCUCUGCGUUGGCAUCUCGAGAAAAAACAAACAAGUUAAAACUUUCAACAACGGAUCUCUUGGUUCUG
rnacentral:misc_RNA from 1 species